rnacentral:rRNA from 1 species
AGUGAACGCUGGCGGUAGGCCUAACACAUGCAAGUCGAACGGCAGCACAGUAAGAGCUUGCUCUUACGGGUGGCGAGUGGCGGAUGGGUGAGGAAUACACCGCACUUUACUUUUUCGUGGGGGAUAACGUAGGGAACCUUACGCUAAUACCGCCUACGACCUACGGGUGAAAGUAGGGAAUAUUCGUCCCUUGCGCGUUUGAUUGAGCCGUUGCGGGAUUUGCUAGUUGGCGGGGUAAAGGCCCACCAAGGCGACGAUCCGUCGCUGGUCUGAGAGGAUGAUCGGCCACACUGGAACGGAGACACGGUCCAGAGGCCUACGAGAGGCAGCAGUGGGGAAUAUUGGGCAAUGGGCGCAAGCCUGACCCAGCCAUCCCGCGUGGGUGAAGAAGGCCUUCGGGUUGUAAAGCCCUUUUGUUGGGAGAGAAAAUCAGCAGGUUAAUACCACGCUGUUCUGACGGUACCCAAAGAAUAAGCACCGGCUAACUUCGUG